GGGCGCGUAGCUCAGUGGUAGAGCACACCCUUCACACGGGUGGGGUCACAGGUUCAAUCCCUGUCGCGCCCA
rfam:Erythrobacter litoralis HTCC2594, complete genome.